GCCGACUCUAAUAAGACGGGCCUCUGGCAACUAGCUGAGUACCAAAAAUGGCCGCCAUGCCAUUCUGACAGGCCAUAUCAAGGUCAUGUUAUUUAGAUGCCAUACUCUGGCUGGCUAGCUGCACAUCGUGAUGGGAUACUACAAAUUCAUUAAAUGUGCCUACAGGGUUAUUUAUUACACUCCAUAUGCGGUAGCGUCUGCCGCCAUGU
rnacentral:lncRNA from 1 species